UUAGCUGCUUUUUAGGGGGUUUCUAUAGCGGUCUGCUGCAAUGGAGUCUUUUCUUUUGGAGCGGACCUUUCCCUUCCAGGGAAGGCAUGAAUCCUCGAUCCUAGCUAGUUUGAUCUCUCGAAUUAAGGUUUCUGAUUGGAUUGGUUAUAAGUCUACCAUACUGUAUAGAAAAGAAUGCAUGUUCAUCCGGACAUUGAGGAAGGUCAAACCUAAUCCGGUGUCAACACUAGACUGACCGGAAAACCUAACUACCUAACUAGCUUCAACCGAGUUUUCGGUAGGCUAGAAAGCAUUUCUUUUACUCUUCUAUGUCUAUUAAGUGUUUUGAUCCUUGCGCCAAUUCUCGUCUUUCGUCUUUUGUUUUGUGUGUUGGGCGAGUUUGGAAAUAAGGUUCC
rnacentral:lncRNA from 1 species